UCUUUAGAUUUAAUUUNAGAUCAGGCCUGCCCAUUGAUUUUAUAAUUAAAAGGCUGCGGUAUUUUAACUGUACGAAGGUAGCAUAAUCAUUUGUCUUUUAAUUGAAGGCUAGAAUGAAUGGUUUGAUGAAAAAUAUUCUUUCUUUUUUUAAUUAAUUUUAAUUUAACUUUUUAGUUAAAAGGCUAAAAUUUUUUUAUAGGACGAGAAGACCCUAUAGAAGUUUACUUUAUUAAUUAUUUUUUAUUUUUUGUUUUUGAAUUGGAUUUAUUUGAAAUAAAGUUUUGUUGGGGUGACAUUAAAAUAUAUUUAACUUUUAAUUGUUUUUAUCAUUAAUUUAUGUUUUUUUGAUCCUAAAUUUUAGAUUAUAAGUUUAACUUACCUUAGGGAUAACAGCGUAAUUUUUUUGGAGAGAUCAUAUC
rnacentral:rRNA from 1 species